rnacentral:other from 1 species
GUUCACUGCCGCACAGACAGCUUAGAAA